UGGUGGUGUCACGACAAGUAAUUUCAUCUUCUUUUUUUUUUUCCUUUUAUCUAUGGUGUAAAAAGAACGUAUAUAAUCAUGGAAUUCUUCUAUAAAUUAAAGGUUUCAGAUGUUGAAGUUCUCAUAAGUGCCAAGCAAAAAGAAAUCAUAUCACUAAAAACUGCAAAAAGAAAAUGGAGAAGUCAUCAUGCUUUAAGCUGGUUUUCUUAGUCUUUCUGUUGCUCAACAUUUCAGGCUCGUUCUCUCUUUAACUUUUGUUAUGCUCACUAGCUAUGAAGUAUCAUAUAUGUGGAGGAAUGCUAAAUUACUAACAAUUAGCCGGCCUUAGUGUCCAAUAAUAAUGCGGAUUGUUUGAACUAAUAAUUAGGACCUUUUCAUAUCUCCUCAUUAUUAUUAGUACAUCUUUGAUAAGAUUGCCUAUUAUAAAAUUCACAAAGUCUUAAAUAAGACAGUCUCACGUUAGUCUUAACGUGAGAUCUGGCCAGUCCAAGAGAUAUAUAUUUUUAGAAAACGGAUCACGUCUCACAAAUUCUCACGAUAAUAUUUUGGCGAAUUAGUUAAUAUUUUUGGCGAAUUAGUUAAGUAUUUUAGCACAAUAGUUUAAAGCUGGUAAUUUUUAUGUAGACUUCCAUUGUUUUUUAGUUAACAUAUUCAAUACAUCAGUUAGUGUUGUUCUAUAAUUAGUUAAGAUUUUUUUUUUUUUUGAGGGGAAUUAGUUAAGAUUAAUUGAGCAUUAUUUUGGUUUCUAAUAUAAACGAAGAAACAACUUUUUACAAAUCUAAAAUGUGAAAUACAAAAGACAACUUGAAAAAAUAACUUAAAACAACCUAGCAUUUGGAGUAACUAUUGUACCAAUUUCAAUUUGGUUCUUGAAUUUUUUUCUUUUAGUCUUCUCAAAAUGACUUUUCUUUCUUGCACUUCCUCUCUUUGUUUUUGAACCAUACGGGUAUAAAAUAACCAAUAUAGUUGUACUUCAUGAGUAUCGUUCUUCUAUGAUUGGUUUCAUAUUUUAAGACUUUGUUUAUAAUUGCAGUAGUAUUUUUGUAGACUUCUUGGAAUGCCUUUCUUGCAUCUUCAUUAUCUUAACUUUUGAGAAUGAGAUUGUAGAACUAAUUUUAUCGCAGUUUCAUGUUGCCAUGGGGUUACAUUGGUUUAUCUAUUCAUUUUGCUUUUCCACACUUUCCUCUUAACAUAUCUAAUCCAUCUCAAGCCCGCCCGGGCUGCUCCUCCUUGACUCGUCUUCGAGCCUCUUCUUCGCCUAGCUUGCUUCACUAUCUCCACAAAACCCCAAUAUACACAACCCAACACGCUUCUUUAAUCACUAAUAUCUUUAGUUGUACAAACGAAAAAAAUAUAAAAAGAGUUAUAAUUUGAUAGUAUGUAUCGAGAAGAAUCUAACAAGAUCCCACUUGACUAUGUUUUUCUUUAUAUAAUGGCGAUAAAUCGGAUUCAAAAUUAAUCAGUGAAUAGUAUCAUUUCACCUAAUGUUUCAUUUAAAAUAGAAUAGAGGAAGUAGGAGCCUUAUAGAAUUAUUAUAAGGACAUUUAUUUUUUGAAUUCUAAUGAACUCUUCAAUGCGUAAGUAAUAUAUUUCACCUGAUAAUAUUAAUAAAAAAGAACAAUAAAAAUGUUAAUUUAGUCAACGACUUUUCUGAAUGAACUCAAUAGGGAUAUUGUUCAGUUUUAAAAAUUAGCGGCUUAUCAUCUCCCUAAUUAAAAAAACGACAUAAUUAUUUGAAAUCAUAUUUGUAGAAGCUUUCACCUAAAGCAAAAAAAAAAAAAAAAAAAAAAAAAAUAGAUCGUGUAAUUAUUUUAUAUUACGAUCAACCCAAUUGUAGUAGAUUUUUUUUGAUCAAUAACAGAUCUUGUGUUAGUUUAUAAUUAAUCAAGAUAACUUAUAGUAAACUCAUGAUCCAAUUUUUUCCUAUCCGUAUAAACAGCUUCAACACUUGCAAGAAUGCAACCAACUAUAAUGGAAGAACUUACAAAGGAACAAGUUCUUGAAGAACUUGGUGCUUACAAGCAGAUAAUA